ACUGGGUUCGAUCCUCAGCAUCACAUGAAUAAAUAAAUAAAAUAAAGAUAUUGUGUCAUGUACAGUUUAAAACAAAAAAUUAUUAACAUUAAAGUUAAAGUCCAGUACUCUUAGUUUAAGACUGACUUGCUGGAUGUUUAAGGCCAAGGCUUAAAAAUUAAAGUUAAAAUAAAGAGGACAAGAAAACCAAUAUUUGCCUCUUGCCCUCUGAGUCAGCCUGAAUCCAGGAAAAAGGGGAAGAGCUUUGCAACUCCAGGCCACAUAACCUCCCGAUAAGGCAUAUUGAGACCACUGGAGAACAGAAAGCCAAUGAGUGUACAUGCUGUAAAAGAGGAGUGUCAUUGAAAAGGGGAGACAUGCCUGAUGCUUCCAAGGGAAGCCACAUGGUCAGCAAGACUUGACCCAUCCAAACACAGAUGUCACUAGCAGAGCUAAAAUGCUGCUCAUGAGUUCCCCAAGAGUAUCUCCCAAGGGAACUCAGCUGACUCUUAACAAUAGAUAGGAACAAGGUCAGUUGACCAGCUUGAUCUUAAACACCUAGCAAAAACAGUUAAAACCAAAGUACAGCCAUUCCUGGACAUUUAAAAAAAAAGUUAUUUUAAUGUAACAGAAGAUGUUCGCUUGUGUUAGCAACCCCCAAAAUAAGUAAGACUGGCGAUAACAAAA
rnacentral:lncRNA from 1 species